GAUGAACGCUGGCGGCGUGCCUAAUACAUGCAAGUCGAGCGAACAGAUAAGGAGCUUGCUCCUUUGACGUUAGCGGCGGACGGGUGAGUUACACGUGGAUAACCUACCUAUAAGACUGGGAUAACUUCGGGAAACCGGAGCUAAUACCGGAUAACAUAUUGAACCGCAUGGUUCAAUAGUGAAAGGCGGCUUUGCUGUCACUUAUAGAUGGAUCCGCGCCGUAUUAGCUAGUUGGUAAGGUAACGGCUUACCAAGGCAACGAUACGUAGCCGACCUGAGAGGGUGAUCGGCCACACUGGAACUGAGACACGGUCCAGACUCCUACGGGAGGCAGCAGUAGGGAAUCUUCCGCAAUGGGCGAAAGCCUGACGGAGCAACGCCGCGUGAGUGAUGAAGGUCUUCAGAUCGUAAAACUCUGUUAUCAGGGAAGAACAAAUGUGUAAGUAACUGUGCACAUCUUGACGGUACCUGAUCAGAAAGCCACGGCUAACUACGUG
rnacentral:rRNA from 1 species